rnacentral:rRNA from 1 species
GUUGUGGAUGAACAGACAAAACUUCUAGUUCAUGGAGCAGCGCUGAUAGCUGUGGUUCAGGCAUGGAUCAUGUUGGUCCAUAAGAGAGCUGUUCGUCGGAGUAAUAAACCUCUCAUCUGGUAUGGUCCAAUGUUAAUUCAGGAUCGGGAGAGGAUAGCCAAUCUGAAGUACAUCUACAAUUGCAACAACACUGAGGCUCUGUGGAUACUUUGAAUGAAAAGAGCACCUUUUGCCAGGCUUGUGCAGACGUUCAGGAGCAUGGGACUUCUAGAUGAUAGUAUCCACACCACUAUGGAAGAACAAGUAGCCAUGUUCCUCCAUGUUGUUGGUCAUAAACAAAGGUUCAGGGUUGUACACAACACCUUCAGGAGAUCAAUAGAGACCAUCUCCAAGUACUUCAAGCAAGUGUUGUAUGCUAUCGGGGAACUCAGAGGAGAGAUGAUUGUGUCACCAACCAGCCAGACUCCUACCAAGAUUCGCACUAGCCCAAGAUGGUAUCCAUACUUCAAGGUGAGCACUAACAGUAUGUAG